AUUACAUUCUAUAGUCUUCUGGACCUACACAUUGAUUACAUUCUAUAACUACUUCUACAAACGAGGCUACACUUGUGGCAGCACCUAUUCCUGUGGCCCCCCCAUCUUCUGCACCACUUCUUGUGGCCCCCCUCCACCAUUCCCUGAGGCUUAUCGUCCACCUUCACCACACUCUUCUGUUGAUGUUGGUGAUGACAAUGAUGUUGACCUCCAAACACUGCUGAAGUUAAUGAGAUGCCAACCGAAUUAACGUGAUGAGGGACAACGUUUAUGAUUGUGCAAUGAGAGGCUUUAAGAGAGCCCGCUUUAAUCCGGAGGCAAAAAUAGACAUGGUUUUUAGGGAUGGUGACGGAAAAGGGGCAGCUGAUGAGGGUGGUCCCUCAAGAGAAUUUCUCUGGCUGCUAAUGAGUGCCAUCCAUUCCUUUGCAAUAUUUGAGGGACCUGAUUGGCAAAAAUGCCUUUCUUGCAACUCUCAAGCACUCUAUGAUGGCGUAUACAAGCAGGUGGGCCACAUGAUUGCUGUCUGUCUAGUACAUGGGGGUGUAAAGACACAUUUUUUCAGAGGCUAUACAGGCAAGUAUAUGGCCUACAACCUCCUGUGCCAGAAAUGAAAGAAAUGGUGGAAUAUAACUUAAGAGAGAAGUUGGAGAAGGUAAGUACUUUAUACUGUGAUGGAUGCUAUGUUACUGUUCAUUUGCACUAAGUUCGAAAAAAAAUAUUAGGGUUGUAGAUGUUCAUGAAGACUUUUCCACAUGGAUUUGGUUUCCUUUUGUUGGCAGUCAAUGUUUUUUAAGGGUAGUGAUAAUCAGUUUAUUUUGCUAAUUUUUCCCAAAACACUGUUCAAUAAACAAACAAUUUAAGAUCCAGUUAGCACAAACUGUUGACGAGGCACAGGAAGCGGUCGAGUUGGGUCCAGUGCGAUACAUUCGUACAUUGGAGAGGGAUGCCAUGGUGGAGUCAGCCACAAAGUUCUACUUAGAAAGCAGGAUAUGGGAUGCUCUUGAGUAGUGAGUCUCAAGUUUAGUUAAAUUCUUC
rnacentral:lncRNA from 1 species